GUGCUGAACUCCCUGCAGGCCCCUCAGACGCCUGGUACAGCGGGUUGGACCUCAACAUCUCCACCUCGUUGCUCUGCUGCUCUGACCUGCUCAGCCUCAGUGUGUCUCUGGUUUCCUGGAGGGAGUAGGUGUGACAGUCGGAUGUGGUGUCGUGUCCGGCAAAGAGCCACUGAGGGAGAAGCCCAGAGGAAGGCCUCUCUUUGGGACUGGAGGCGGAUGGAUCACAAAGGAAACAAAACUGUGCAGCAGGUUUGGACCACGAACACUGAGCAGAACAGAGCAGGAGUUCAUUGAGACUGAACGAAGCCUAGAAACCAGUCGGGGAAGUUCCCGUUGUUGAGGAUGAGCGGCGCCUGCGUCUCAGUGAACCACCUCAGCACCAGCUCCUUCAGGCCUCCUUCUGUGGGCUCCAUGUGCAGGUCAACACCGGACAUCUUCUCCAUCCUCGCACGUUUGUCCGGAGCUGACAGAGCUGUGUUAUCACGCGUACGCUCUCUGCUCGGAUGACGUGGGAAAGGAAGGACGAGCUCCCUCAUUUGACUGUUUCUGUUGGAUAUCGCUCAUCUGAAUGGUGCUAUUGUUUCAGUUAAUCUACCAGUGACUCCUCUGCCUGUCGACAGGCUGCCAGCUUCAUUUUACUAUCUGUGUUCCUCUUCCCAGAUUGAACUUUAAUGGCCUGGUCGCAUUGUACAUGUUUCAUUUUGUUUGUUUAUAUUCAGUGCUGUGUGAACAAUGGAGGAGCUCAGAUGGAAGACAGAGAAGACAGAUGGAGUGUGUUUGUGUGAGCGCUUGAGUCGAUCACAGUGUGAGGUCAAAAAACUGACAGAUGUUUUAUUACAUGGGCGCGAAUCCAAUCUGGGGACAAACAGCCCAUCCCAACAAGGUGGGAAACCCUUAAAAUGUAGUGUAAGGACAUGACAACCAGACAUCUGGGACCACGUUUGAGGGUAAUUUGGUCAUAAAGUGUUGGAUAACAUAACAUGUUGGCCUGAUGACAGCACUGAAUAAAGACUCGGGGAUUGAUUCAGCUGUGACAACACAUCCUGAUUGGAGCAUGAAUGUUUGUACCAAGUUCUACAACAAUUAAUCCGAUAUCCAAUAUUUACCGACAUUAUUCUCAAAAUACUGAACGUCAAAGUCACAACGGUGCUAGAAAAGAGUCUGUCAGUGUCACGGUAACAUGCUGUAACAUAAAAGUCACAGGAUUGCCAAAGUUAUUGGGAUUCAUCCUCUGGGGACCAUGAAUAUCAAUGCCAAAUUCCAAAGCAAUAAAUCCAACAUCCAUCAAGA